GCGCGCGGCAGCAGGGUUGGGCUCUCGCCGUGAGUCGACGAAGGGAGCGCGGGCGCGCGCCCGCGUCCGCGCACUGAGAGUCGCCUCGGCCGCUCGCUUUCUCGACUCCCGCCUCGCGCCUCGAUCCUGUUCCGCCUCCCUCGGCCCUCCUGCCCGCCCCCACUCGUCGGCCCUCAGGUUCCUGGAAAGUGAAAAUUUCAUUUCUUUGUGGACAGGUACCUAAAAUGUCUCAUUAUUCAUCAAUUAAUGAAAAACAAAUGAAAAUUUGAGAGAGAUAUUCUGAAGAAUAAAAGGAUCAAGUUGGGUCAUUUCUAAAAUGUAAGAUUAUAAGGUUUAACUUGCUAAGACUUUUGAGGGGUUGAAUUAUUGGUAAAUUAUUAUAGAACCACUUAUCUGAGGCUUUUAAAAGUGAUGUGUUACAGAGAUUUAGGGAACUGCAAGAUUGCAGAUAAAGAAUUUAUACUGUCAACUGUUCUAUACUUUACCUUCUGCUUUAAAUGCGGCCUUAUAUUUUGAAGUCAAACAUUUAUUUUCUCUCACUGCGUUCUGAAUUUCCUACCACAGUGCAUUUUGAGAAAUGAAUAUAACAGCAGUCUUCAUAGAUGCCAUAUUCAUGGCAACUCUGUCCCCCGCCAACACCACACCCUGGAAAAAAACCAACUUUCUAUUGUUGGAAUGAGGUAACAUUUUCAGGAAAAGGGAACCAUUUUCUCACAGGAUAUAGAACAAAUUCAACCUUUUAUUAAAUCAAAAUGGAUUCUCUAAUGUUUAUACAUAUCAUAUAGGAUUUCAUCUCUUUCAAUCUUGGUUCAAAGGCCCAGACAGUACCAUUCCCUAGUAUUUAGUCCAUUUGCUCAUAAAGCAGAAGAGAAAAGCUACUUUGUUCCGAAGGGUGUUAGAUUUAGGAUUCCAAGGUUAUUUCAAAUUAAUGCCUGGAACUAGACUAUAAAAUGCAGGAAAGAUUCUAAGUUGUUCAAAGAUGAAAUAUCUUAACUUUCACCAAAAACUCUGUCUUCUGGGUAUUUUUUGUUUUUCUGCCUUUCCAGAUUUAUUUUAAAUACAACAUUUUUGCUGUUUACAUUUUUAAAAGUUACAUUUCAAAAUUGUUCAUAAUUGGACACUUUCAUAAAAUGUAGGCAAAUGCAGUUUUACUUUUUAAUGAAGGACAAGUCUGUUGAUAACAUUUUGAUUCUUAAAAUUUUUUUUAUCUUAUAAAAAUGAAACAAUGCAUUUAAAGUGUCUUCAGCUCUUAUGUUAAUACCAAAUUAUACAUUUUCUUAGCCCAUGUUCAGGAGAGACAAUAUAUCUUCCAAAUUAAGAGAAGCUGGCACCAUUUUUAAAACAAGGCCUUGAAUCUGCUGUGGUAUGUGCUGGUAGGAAUUUUGUAUGAAGCUGUUAUUGAAGUAGAUGACAUUAAGGUCAAAGGAAAAAAAAAACAGAAAAUAAUGUAAUCCUACAGAGCUGCUCUUAAGAUCUUGAGAGAAAAACCACGUAGGUAACAUCAAACACUAGUUGGAAUCUUUCCAAGAAGUAAUUAUCUGUGUGCUGUUUGUGGUGGUUGAUUAUGGGAACAAACCAAGGUUUAGCCAAUUCAGCAAACAUUUAUGGAGUGCCUGCAAUGUGCAUGUCACUGUUUUAAGGCCUGUGCCUACUGUAAAGGUGACCCACACAUGAUGCCUGCCUUGCAGGACUUGGAGUUCAGCGAUAAUAAGAGAUGCAUACCUGAAAAGCCUAUUUAAGACUCUUCCGGUUCUACAAAGAAGGCUUCUUGAAAGUGGUAGCUUUGAUUACUCUUUGGAUUUAUUUACAUUUAUCCUAUAAUCAGAAGGUAUACAAAACAGACUCACACAUAUAUAAAAUUAAUAGAUUAGAUAGCAUUUAAACAAAUAUUUCAGGUAGGUACUUCAAAUGCAUUUGACAUUUAUCAAAGAAAUGGUAAGUGCUGUCAUCCGUGGGUGGCUGGAUUAACAUGUGGGACUACUUAUCACCAAUUUUGUUAGGGAUCUUAGGGAAAUUCCUGGAUCUUAUAUUCACAAGCAAUUGUAUAAAUACUUCCCACAGCUCAGAGACCUAAUAGGAUGGGGUCUUAGAGAAACAUCUUUUGAGCCACAGACUUCUUUGUUACCAGAAGGAAAAUGAAAGAAGAAAUUUAAAUACCACUUGAAGAGAGCUGAUCGCCACCAACUGGCCUCUGGGUGGAUUUGGCCAAUGGAAGCACCUGUAGAGGGAAGAGAGUGAGGUUAGGAUAUUUCUUCCUGCUGUCUCCGUGCUUCCCUGCAGAGAGUGUGAAGAAAUGACCCUGAAAAGCCUCUGGCAGAGGAUUCUUCUUUCAGGAUGGUGUCGCCUCCUCAGCAGCCCAUCCUCCUCCCCUGGACUCAAGCUCUCAUUCCAGUAACACUCCUUCCUCCUUCUCCAUCUUCAGGGGGAGGUUUGCCAGUCGGUGGGUUCUAAGCAUAUCUCGCUGAUUCCCCCCAACCCUGCCGACACCUCUGUAGGUCGUCCCUUCAUUAAAAUCUCUCCAUUUGAACUAUCUGAGUUUAAUUCCAUUUCCUCCUGGUAUCUCAGUGAUACACGGUAUCAGUACAAAAAUCUCGCUUCACCUUCAGAACCAACAGAUUUGAGACAUUUUAUCCUCUGUGGAACCAUUAGUUAUUUUGUCAUUGGUUGUAUCAGAAAAAAAAAUCAGGAAUGCAAAUCCUUCUUUAUUACAGAUUCAGAUUUGCAUAUUACCAAUGUUAUAUAUUUUAAACAAAACUAUUCAUCAUAAGUUUUAAAAAUUAACUACUGGAGUAGUUAAUGAAUCUGAAUGUAAUUAUGUAGCUUUCAUAAUAUUAAAGUAAAAAUACUAAAAGAAGUAUUUCUUAAAGAAGCAAAUGCUCAAUCUCCAAGUAAAUUUUAUUCUAUGCUCUUCCGGUAUAAGAAUAUGUUAAUAUCUUGAAAAAUAUCAUAUUAUUUUGUGAACUCAUAAAGCUAUUUUGAGUUUUUGUAAAAUGAAAACCUUACCAAAAUGUAUUUUAUUGUUGGAAAGCUUGACCGUUACUGCUGUUUAAUUUUUUGAGCUUGUAAACUUUAUUUGUGCAUGUUUUCAACAAAGAAGGAUUUUAUUGUUAUUACAUAAAACAGGUGAUUUCUAGAUUUUAAAAUCACAAAUUGAAAGCAAGGCACAAUAAUAUAUAUUUCAAGAUAUAGGUACUUAGGAGGCAUCCUUUUAGUCAUCUGUUCAAUGUAGCCAUCUAUUUUACACCUACUGUCUACUAUUGUUUGAGGUCCUUGCCAAAGUAUUGCAGGCUAGUUAGGAAACAUAAAACAAUUAGAAAGUAAUCUAUGACAAGUAAGCUAUCUAUAAAUGGCAAUGAAGGGUAGAACAAAUUCAAUGAAAAUAUCUAUUUAAUCCUAGUGUUUACUGGUCUAGAAGAAUAGGCUGAGUAAAUUAGUAUUUCUCUGGCUGUUGUGGUAACACAUUGCAUGCUAUAACAGUUUUAAGUAAUUACAGGUGCAUUGAAAUUUAUCUAUGGCUUUGUCAUCAUAUUCUAAAAUGUCAUGAGUACUUUUUUCUGACCUCAAUUACUAUGAAAUUGGUUUCCAAUAUUUAAUUAACCAAGAAUAUCAAGUCUAUAGGGUAUUAUUAAGGUGAGACUUCUGUAGCCUUUUCAAUAAAGACCAGAAUUUUGGAGUGCCUUGAACCUUAAUCAUUGAUCUUUAAUUCUUAUUAAGUCAACUGCCCACCUUUUAAAGACUGAGGCCCAGGAAGAGUAAGUUUCUCUGAGACAAUGCAUACAGUACAGUGCUUCUUGGGUAUUGGCUCUAAGACCAGAUGCAAAGAAAGGCUAAAAUCCCAUUUCAUUGUUCAUUAGGUGAGAACCCUUUGUUAAGCUGUGUAACCUCUGUGCAUAGUUUCCUCAUCAGCAAAGUCAGAAAAAGUAUGUACCUGAAGGACUGAUUGUAAGGCUGGGAUGAGAGAAUCCAUGUGAUCAGCCCUCACCAACAGGUGCUGCCCAGUUCAUGAGUGCUGCUGCUGUCCUGCCCAAGUACCCAGCUUGCAGAGUGCCAGAGUUAGAGUCCCAGGGGUGUUCUCCACAGCUGCAUGCUUGAUCCAGGCCUAUCAGGUGAGUUGGCUCUUGGCUAGUGGUUUUUCUUCUCUUGCUGUACAAAAGUCCAGACAGUAAUGUCUUUUUUUCAUUUUUAUAGAUAUAUUCCAUUGAAAGUCCUCAUUCUCAAAUUUAAAACAAAGACUUUUUGUGUACCUCAAUAGCAAUGCACACACAGUUGGCUUCACAAACAUAUUGUACAUUUCUUUUUUUCAUAUUUAUUCAACAAAUGUAUAUUGACUACCCACCGUGUGACAGGUGUUAUUUGUUGACGGAACCAGGCAUCAUCAGCAAACAAAACUGACAAAGCUUCCUGCCCUCUGUGGAAGGCAUCUGAGGAAGAGACUGGAUUUUGUAGCAACAUGUUAUUCUCAUUAUAAACUUUAUCAUUGGAAUACUAAAGCCAAAUCAUCCCCCAUCUCCUUGAUCAGGAUACCCACUUAAUCUAGGCAGCUACACAAUUGUGAGAGCCUUUGUUUUUUUCUGCUGAAACAUCCUUAAAAAGAUACCUCACAACCCAAGAUUUGGCUUUUCUUAAAUACGAUUUUUAAUUUUUUUCAUUUCUAUCUAGAGAUUUAAUUGGAAAUGGAAAAUCAUCAAUUUUCCAAUUAAAUGUCUGUUCCAAUCAACAUUAUACCUUUUAGGUUGUCAUUGUCAUUUUUAAGUUUAAGCAACUUUAAGGAUUUUGAAUCUGGCUGCCUGUAAAUUAAAGGUGAAAGUAAUCAUUGUGUUGGAUUGGAACAUUUUGUCAAUUGAGAGUGGUUUCCUUGUUCUUAGUGUAUGAAAAGUUUAUUUUUCUAAUGUAGAUUAAUAAAGGAGAUAAAGAAAAACAAAAUGA
rnacentral:lncRNA from 1 species